rnacentral:rRNA from 1 species
GCUACGGCCAUAUCAGCCUGGGUACGCCCGAUCUCGUCUGAUCUCGGAAGCUAAGCAGGGUCGGGCCUGGUUAGUACUUGGAUGGGAGACCGCCUGAGAAUACCAGGUGCUGUAAGCA